AUGAAGGGUUCUGCUUGGAUAAUGAUAUCAUUGAACUUUGAAGUCCGCCAGUGCUAAUUUCCAAUUGUUUUGUUUUCCUAAACAAGCUCUAUUCAUUGGUGGUAAGCCACAGAAUCUUGUUACAAGCUCUCACGCAACUACUCGUAUAAUCUUACAAUUAAGGUGCCUAUUCUGAAAACAGGUCGUCGACAUUUGUAAACAAGAAGGGGUCAAGAUCAAAUCUUCAGCUCUGUCAAGAUGCAACGUAUGAUGAUCUGCACGAGAUAAGUGGACAGAGACAGAGACAGAGACAGAGACAGGGAAAAAUGCACGCAUAGCUUUCAAAUUUGACAAAGGAAAGACGUCGAAGCAAACGACUAGAGUGAACGAUUCAAGCAGAGCAAAAUCUCAAGGACAAGGACGUUUUCACCGUCAAUUCUGAGAAACAGAAGGUUUUUUUUUUCUUAUAUAUGUAAUCGGCAAGGAUGCCCUCUUCGAACUUAAAGACCAGCUUAGAAAAUGCGGCUUUCUUUCUGCGAUUAUCAAAGAUCGGCUCUUCAAGACAAAGCAGGGAACAGCAAUUUGCCAAAUUAUCCAGCUCAAGAUUCAACGAAUUGACAGAACUGUACAACGAACACGCUCCGCGACACAACAAGGCAAAAAUUGACAAAGUAGCCCAUUUAUUAGUGCAAAUAUUACAAGUUCAAGAAGUCCAAACUGUUAAGGAGUAUACCAUGAACGGAUAUACAUUUAAGGUUCACGUUCUGGAGGACACGGAACUAUGACAUGCGGAGAAUUGGGACAUCAUCUUGCAAUAAGGAAUUUACGGCAUAGUUGUAUAUACGUUCAGGACAACAAUGGCGAUUUGAAAUUAGGACAUUGCACCGAUAUCGGCGACAUUGAUAACAAAAGAAAUGGGGGAGGAUAAAGUCUGCAGACACGAAAUGAUAGUUAUUUGCGGUUUACAAUAAGUAGAGUAUCUUAAGGCCUUUUAACCCUGCAGAAUGAGUGAUUGAUAUCAAAUGGAACUCUGAAUUUUUCUCGCAUUAAUACUCUCUGGAAAUAUACUGAUGUAACCACUUUGUCACGCCACUUCUGGUUAUCAUCAGUCAAAAAAAAAGACCCCCCCCCCGAAAAAACUGUAACCUUCAAUUGUUACAUAUCUACUCCAUGUAAAUGUGGUAAAACGUUUCUUUAAUUCAAGUGAACCUGUCAUCUACAACACAGCGGUGUUGCUUCAGGAAACAAAA